UACGUAGGGUGCGAGCGUUGUCCGGAAUUAUUGGGCGUAAAGAGCUCGUAGGCGGUGCGUCACGUCGAUCGUGAAAACUUACAGCUUAACUGUGAGCGUGCGGUCGAUACGGGCAUCACUGGAGUUCGGCAGGGGAGACUGGAAUUCCUGGUGUAGCGGUGAAAUGCGCAGAUAUCAGGAGGAACACCGGUGGCGAAGGCGGGUCUCUGGGCAUUAACUGACGCUGAGGAGCGAAAGCAUGGGGAGCGAACAGG
rnacentral:rRNA from 1 species